rnacentral:rRNA from 1 species
UACGGGGGGGGCAAGCGUUGUUCGGAAUUACUGGGCGUAAAGGGCUCGUAGGUGGCCAACUAAGUCAUACGUGAAAUCCCUCAGCUUAACUGGGGAACUGCGUCUGAUACUGGAUGGCUUGAGUUUGGGAGAGGGAUGCGGAAUUCCAGGUGUAGCGGUGAAAUGCGUAGAUAUCUGGAGGAACACCGGUGGCGAAGGCGGCAUCCUGGACCGACACUGACGCUGAGGCGCGAAAGCCAGGGGAGCAAACGGG